AGCAGAGUACGCUGUGGUAAACCAUGGAGUUCGUGUUGUUUUUGCCGAAGUCAGUGCUGUGUGUGGUUUCGGUACACCGCUCGGGCGGCUGUUGAAACUGCUGUGGUUUCCACAUAAGGCCUACUGUGCCUCUCCAGUCCCUCAGCUAGUGCACUGGGGGCAUGGGCCAGGGGUGCCAUGCCCACUAUGAGCACCAGCCUGCAAAGUUUUUGUGUAACUUUUUUGUUGUUUGUUAUUGUGAGAGGGCUCUCACUAGCUGUCUCAGAGCCAGUCCCUGGCUGGCCUCAAACUCAGAGAUAGCCUGGCCAAAAACUGUGUUUUUUAUUAUUAUUAUUAUUACAUUAUUAAUUAUUAUAGUUAGGAGUGCACUCGCCUCUUCCCUCGGUGUUGGUUUACUAUAUUUAUUUGCUUCUGUGUAUCCUUGAGUCAGUGGCAUACAGGUGGAGUCAGAAACUGACGGGAGUUGGUUUUUCCGUUGUGUACAUUUUAGGAAUUUACCUUGGGUUAUCAGGCUUAGGAGCAAGCAACUCUGUCUACUGAGCCAUUCAACAGUCCCUUGUUUUGUCUUUUAGAUACACCCUCAGUAUGUCAUCCAUACUGUCCUUAGACUCCAGAUUCCCUCCUCAGCAGUUUUUAGUUUAUUCCAAUUCCUUCUCUGUGGCCAUUUCUCCAUGCUCAUAUCCAAAGAGCCAAAAGCACUGUGACCUUGCUUCCUACAACUGGGGUGGACAGAGUGACUUUGUCACACUGAGAAUCAACUCCACCUCAGAAAAUAGGGAAAGCGAUUACAGAGUUAGCAGAAGUGGUUACAUAAAAGCAGGAACUAGAUUCAGCCUUAACAAUACAGCCACCAAAAAUAACUCAGGGUGCCAAGUCCCAGGCUCAAACCAGGGCCAUGCCAACCUGCAAAUGACAGAGACCUAAAGUGCCUGUACGCCAGCACACACAUACC
rnacentral:lncRNA from 1 species